UAGUGAAGAGAAGGACACGUAAACCAAUUUAGGCAAGGUAAAUGAUGGCCCAAGGGUAUCUGACUCGGGUGUAACAUAGACAGGAGGGAGGGUAUUUCCUAGGCACAGUUCCUUCGGAUUUCUCUUUGUGACACAAAUUGUACUCUGCUGAGGUUUUAAUGAGAAGGCUUGGUAAUAAGUUUCAUAU